CCUCACAGGAGCGCAUCGUAUCGGCUGUGGAGACGCUGGCUGGAGCUCCAGCAGAGACCAGAGACCAUCACUGCGCUGGACCACAGGGAGGAAGCAGCUUCUUUUAUUGCUUAUCGGAAAUAAUCACACUGAUCGAUCCGCUUUAUUUGGUGAAGCGGCAGUCACUUUACGCACGGAUUCUGUGGACGCUUAAAGUGGAUUAAACGCUGCCGUUACAGCGCUGACACACGUGGAGGAGUUAUUAUUAUCAUUAUUAAUAUUAUUAUUACUGGGAAAACUUCAUGAUGGCGACAGCUGACGGAUUCAACACCCCAGCUGUGAAUCCUCUUGGAGCAUAUGAGGAAAUACAGCCUCUCGGGAUGAGUGGUGUCCAUGCCUCCUGCUGCCCAGGUCCUGCUGCUGGACAAGCCGUCUGUCGGACACACGAGUCUCUUGGGAUACUUCGCGCGUGUGGCCAGUGUCACAGAUGGCGAGCACCAUGAUUGUUUUGGAGAUUUCUAGCGGUGGAUUUUGGCACAAUUAUAAAAAGGAAUAUCCUGGAAUAUAUUUUGAAAUUGAUGCUCAGCAGACGUGCAGCAGUUUGGAUAAUGACAUCUCCGCAUCCAGCAGUGAAGGAAUCCAAAUUCUUGGAAUGAGAUGUCAACCUUUAAUUGCUUCCAAGGGAUCUUCUGAUGAUCUCAGGUGAGCACCCAGAAGAGGCUGAGUCAUGGAAACAUGAUCUCAAGAGAUUCAACAGGAUCAUAUUAAAUCCUGGUUUGGACUUCGGACCAGCAUCCCCCUGCAGCAGAUGUUUGCUGCUGGCAUGGCUGCAAACAGCGUGAGCUCCAUCGCUGACAAUCUCGCUCUCAGGGAUCCAGCACCAGCAGCUCGGACUUGGAGAAGCCUUGACAUAAACUCAGCGGGACAGUGGAGUGCACUCUGCCGCUCAGACAUUAUGGAACAGAUCAGUCAACCCUGUGCGGAGAGGCGUGCGAUAGGAAAGUCAACUCGAUGAAUGUCCGUUUACCGUAGUUACCACAAUGGAUCUACACAUUGUUUGACUUUUUCUAAAUUGAACCUGGAUUAAUAUUUUCCCAUGUAUACAUCUGCUUUUCAUAUUCUGUGUUUAUUCACGCUGUUGCUCAUACACAGCAGUUGUGACAUAUACUGUGUUAUUCUGGAUAUAGUAUCAACAAGCGCUGGAACCGUAAAUGGAAAAUAAUCAGAUGUUAUUUUCAUUUUUAGCUCUAUUUUUACAGACUGACGGCAGCGCUCACACCACUGCAGUCACAUCCACAGUUUAACUUGCGAAGAGAAAUGUUUCCUGUUGUGUAAAAUGAGUUAAUGCACCUACUAUCGAAAUAUCUCAGCAGCAUUACUCAGUCUCGGAAAUGUAACAUUCCCAUUUGACAUCUUCUAAUUGCGAUCACAAAGAGGCCAUUGUAAUCAAGGUACUUAUGAAUACAAACCAAAACCUCGGCUAUUGACACUACAUUUCACUUUGACACAUUGGCAGCUUUUGCUAUUAUUACCGUCAGGCUGUUUAUUCUCAUGAUGAUUAAUAGCUCCAUAACUUUUGUUGUGUCUCUGAAACCCUAUUAACAGAAAUAAAGAGAGUGUGUCCAA